rnacentral:misc_RNA from 1 species
GAUGAAGAACGCAGCGAAAUGCGAUAAGUAAUGUGAAUUGCAGAAUUCAGUGAAUCAUCGAAUCUUUGAACGCACAUUGCGCCCGCCAGUAUUCUGGCGGGCAUGCCUGUUCGAGCGUCAUUACAACCCUCAGGCCCCCGGGCCUGGCGUUGGGGAUCGGCGGAGCCCCCCGUGGGCACACGCCGUCCCCCAAAUACAGUGGCGGUCCCGCCGCAGCUUCCAUCGCGUAGUAGCUAACACCUCGCGACUGGAGAGCGGCGCGGCCACGCCGUAAAACACCCAACUCUUCUGAAGUUGACCUCGAAUCAGGUAGGAAUACCCGCUGAACUUAAGUAUAUCAAUAAGCGGAGGA